AAUGGGCGGGAUUGAAAAUUCGGUUUUGGCACCGGUUCGCCUUAAACCGGUGCCAACUAUGGUAAUUAGCACCAGUUCAAAUCGGUGCCAAUUAAAAAAGGAAAAAAAAAAUUGAGGUAUGCGUUACUCUGCUUCUUCAUUCUCUUUCCUGUUCUUUUUCCAUUUCCAUUCUCUCUCUUCUCUCUCUUCAUAUGCUCUCCUCUCUCACCUCAACCAUACCUUCAACCGCAACCGCAACCACCAUGCACCGCUCAUAGAUUCUCUCUCCCCUUUUCUUUUCGUGCUCUCUCCUCUAGCCUCCUUUUACCCUAUCAAUCGUUUUCUAGGGUUUAUCGCCCUUGUUAUACCUCUAAAUCUCAAUCUCAUAUCCAAUCACCUCUCUCUAAUUUCUAGGGUUUCGAAUUACACUAAUGUUGCAAUAAUUGGAGGCUGGAGUUGGUGGUGAUUAAAUUGAUGUUGUUGAACACAAAGAGGCAAACUAAUAUCAGCAGGCUACACUUCUUCUUUCUCGAGGUUUCUUCAUCUUGCUCGAUCUUUCACUCUAUGUUACUCUCCUAAUUAAAGUACUUAUCGAUUUUUUAAUUUCUGUAAUUUCGAUCAACUUCUGUCGUUUUUUAAGAUAUUAGGGUUUAUUACUCUUAUCUGGGUUUUCAUUUCAUUUUUUAUCGGCCAAUUUCUGAAGCAUGCAUAUCAUUUUAUUUGUUAUUCAUAUCAUUUUUGAUAAUCUUGAAGCUGAUUGAUGGAAAUGAUUGAUCUGGGUGUUUGUAAUUCUUGUUAAUUUUGUGUUUUUCUAGUGUUACUUUGAUAAUUAUGAAGAUCUGUCGUGAUAAUUUUUGUGGGUUUUUUUUUUAUUGAAUUAGUUUUGUGACCGAUUUGAAUUAGAGAUCUAUUCAAUUAGUUAUUUUAUUUAAGUUCAUUGAUUACUGGGGCUCUUUGUUUGUGCUUAUGAAUUAGAGAAUUACUAAAUUAAUUUUGUGGGGUUGUUGAAUAUGAUAAUUUACUGAUAAAUUUAGGUGUAUUAAUUUGAUGCUUUAUCAGGUUAAAGUUAGAAUUUAAUUUGCUGAAAUUAUUACAGUUGAGGCAGUGUUUUUAUGCUUAUUGUGUUACCUUGAAUUUACAGAUUAAAAGUUGUUGCUGCAUUUUAGUUAGAUUUGUAGAUUUGAGGGAUUGAAGUGGGUUAUCAAAGAGGUUGAGCAUUGGAUGAAUGGGUUGGAAGAUACAUAUUGAUGAACUGCCCAGGUGUAAAGAUCUGGGCUGAAGUUUCCUUUGUUUUCGUGUUCGUUUUUCUGCUGCAUUUGCCUAUGGGUCAACAAAUCCCAGUGAUGGAUGGAAAGAUUCGUGAUGUGCUUUUUGAAAUUCUUGAGAAUGAAGACGAUGUUGUUAAAAAGCAUGGUGCACAGUCUAGAGAGAGUUGACGUGCAGCUACACAAGGAAUGCACACAUCAAGAUUCUGCUUGCAUCCUGCUGGCAAUACUCCAUCCGCUUGUCGUCUCUUUGAUGCCAUUCAGGAGAUGAAGAAGGUAUUUAACAGAUACCCAGCCAGCCUGAACAGGACAGAGGCACAGCAGCACAGCAAACAGCAGAGCAGCAGGUCAGCCUGAACAUACAACAACACAUCAGCCAGCAGAGCAGCCACCAGCACAAGACAGCCUGAACGGAAGCAAAACCAAUCACCCAGCCAGCUUGAACAGAGCAGAAACACAGCCACAGAAGCAGAACAGCCACAACCAUCAGAGCAGAAACAUAGCCACAUCCAUCAGAGCAAAAACACAGAGAUAAAUCUGGAUUAUUUAAUGAGAUGCAAGAAAGGUACUCAGAGAUAAGUCUGGAUUAUUUAAUUUUUUUUGGACGAAAAUUGUAAUAUUACAGCCUUUUUUAAUGAAA